GCGUUGUCCGGAAUUAUUGGGCGUAAAGAGCGCGUAGGCGGUCCGAUAAGUCGGCUGUGAAAGUCAGGGGCUCAACCCUUGAAAGCCGGCCGAUACUGUCGGACUAGAGUCCGGAAGAGGCAAGUGGAAUUCCCGGUGUAGCGGUGAAAUGCGCAGAUAUCGGGAGGAACACCAAUGGCGAAGGCAGCCCCCUGGGUUAACACUGACGCUCAUGCACGAAAGCGUGGGGAGCAAACAGG
rnacentral:rRNA from 1 species